UACGAAGGGGGCUAGCGUUGUUCGGAUUUACUGGGCGUAAAGCGCACGUAGGCGGAUCGUUAAGUCGGGGGUGAAAUCCUGGAGCUCAACUCCAGAACUGCCUUCGAUACUGGCGAUCUUGAGUCCGGAAGAGGUGGAGUGGAACUGCUAGUGUAGAGGUGAAAUUCGUAGAUAUUAGCAAGAACACCAGUGGCGAAGGCGGCUCGACCUGGCCCGGUACGUGACGCUGAGGUGCGAAAGCGUGGGGAGCAACAGG
rnacentral:rRNA from 1 species